UACGUAGGGGACGAGCGUUGUCCGGAAUUAUUGGGCGUAAAGAGCGUGUAGGCGGCUCUGCAAGUCCUGCGUGAAAUCUCGAGGCUCAACCUCGAGCGGUCGUGGGAAACUGGAGGGCUAGAGUGCGGGAGAGGGAAGUGGAAUUCCAGGUGUAGCGGUGAAAUGCGCAGAUAUCAGGAGGAACACCAAUUGCGAAGGCAGCUCGCUGGGACGUAACUGACGCUGAGACGCGAAAGCGUGGGGAGCAAACAGG
rnacentral:rRNA from 1 species